rnacentral:rRNA from 1 species
UACGUAGGGUGCGAGCGUUGUCCGGAAUUACUGGGCGUAAAGAGCUCGUAGGUGGUUUGUCGCGUUGUCCGUGAAAACUCACAACUCAAUUGUGGGCGUGCGGGCGAUACGGGCAGACUGGAGUACUGCAGGGGGAGACUGGAAUUCCUGGUGUAGCGGUGGAAUGCGCAGAUAUCAGGAGGAACACCGGUGGCGAAGGCGGGUCUCUGGGCCGACACUGACACUGAGAGACGAAAGCUAGGGGAGCGAAUGGG